UCAUGUGUGAUGCAGAAGCCCUUUCCCAGGAGACAACUCUUUCUUUUCACUCGCACUUUAGCAUUCACCGAACUAACACCUAAUCAGCUCCAAAUUUUGUUCAGCUGCCACCUUAAUUUGGCUAGAUCAGAAGAAAAGAGGAGCACAAAUAAAAAGGGAAAGAUGAUAAAACUGAAAAUAAGUGAAAAAGGAAGGGAGCAAAGGAACUGAGAAAAGAGAAAGGGAAGAAGGAUGACAGUGGUUCCCCACAAGUGCUGCUGCUGGGAGUGGUAUUUAUGGCGCCAGUGUUUGCCUUUGCCUUUCCUCACUAAACAUCUCUAUGAGCUCUGAAGACCUUCCAGUCCACUCUGCAAGCUACCACUUAUUACAGGUUCUUUUAAACCAAAAGAACUGGCUGCAUUUUCUAUUUUAGUUCACCUCCAACCUGUGCCAAGGGAAUGAAAGCAGGAAUAGAAUGAAGCUUCUACACACCAUUGUGAAUUUUUUUAUAUAUAAAUAUAUAUAUAUAUAAACUGAACAAUAAACAUCUCAAAAUCCCUGCUCUGCCAGCAUGUUCACACAUCUUAUACUGACUGACAUCACCUUUGACAAAAGCCAGUUAGCAGGAAAGGCUUUAAAAACCCUUCUGAAUAAUAUUCCUCACCAGACUUCAGUAAGGCAACGCAAAACAAACCACAACAAAGUUCAGGUGAACUAGGCACAUAUCUUGGUAUCAAUAUUUUCAUGUGGCUAUAAAAAUCCUGUGGGGAUGGCCAGUAGAGUGCACUUCUUUCAGUGGUUUGGAGUGUUUCCUCGGGGGAAAUUUCAUUCUGGCUUUUUUUCUAUUUCGCUAUGAUACCCAAGAAAUUGCUCUGAGGUGUUUCCUUUCCCACAGGCAAAUGGAAAGCUAAAUAUUUUAUAUGAGGAUGAGCACAGUCCUCUGAUGCUGGUUAAUGUACUUUUUUGCAAUUUAAAUGUCACUUAUAUUACCAGCACAAUGGGUCAAUUUUGCCCAAGGGGCGCUGAAGGUGACAGAGUGGUACCAGGGUUAGAAGAGGCUCAGAGUGAGGUAAAUACACUGAAUAAAUGGCAACCAAGGGAAAGGCUUCUCAGGAAAAGGUGAACUCAUCUCACAGCCUGUUUUAAUAUUUUAACGUUUAAUCUGGGUAAGCAAAUGGUAAAAUCAGCUAUAAAUUGUAUGACACAUGCAGGAGCAAUGAAAAGCAAAGUUUGAAGAAACUGAGCCUCACUGACUACAUCAUCAGCCCUUCUCCACAUCCUCACCUAUGCCUGCUAAUCUGGUCAGCCGCGUUUCUUUUCCAUUUUAUAUUUGUAGCCCGUACAAGCUGGGGCAGCAAGAGAAUGAGAAGCAAAUGAAUGAGAAGAGAAGAGUGCUGAAAAGGAAAGUACAAAGGAGAAAUAAAUAUUCCUUCCCUCCCUCUAGAACUGAACUGAGAAAAUCCCUGAGGAUUCCUGGGCAGGAGUAGAUGUAUGCAGGUGGUUGGAAGGAAUUUUGAGGCCGAAGCUGCCAGGGAAGAUGGGGGUGACCUCUUGGCAUAUUGAGUGCUUGAGGGUUGGUAGAGACAGGGAGGGCCCAGUUCAGCCAGUUUGGGCCUCAUGGUUUCUAUAAGAUGAGUCUAGACUUUCACAUGCAUCUAAGAAGCAUGAGGGACAAAGGUAUAAUCUAGGCUGGCUGAGUCUGGAUCUAACUCUCCUUCUUUAUCUACAACACAUUGUGUGUUCUUUGGCUGUCAAGAGACUGUUUUGCUUCCUUGCUGGCACAAUAAAUUGGUGUUCCACAUCACUCAGCAGACCGAGAGAUGCACAUAUUCCGGGUGAGAAACGAGUGAAAGAAGUAGCCGCUAUUUGCUCUGCUUGCCUAUUAGAAGGUAAUAUAUGUGCUGGGGCGCUGGAUUUUAAACUGCCUUCUGAUACGUAUUGUCAGUCAACCAAGGAGAAUGCAAAGUGGAUGUAAAAGACUGUCUCAUUCAGCCGGAAGAGUGUAAACUCUAUAUUCAUACACUUUGCUGAAUGUAGGUGAAUAUGCAAGGUGCAAUGCAACAGUAAAUUGUUCAUGAAAUCUUUAGUCUGCACAGAUCUAAUAUUUAGGGAAUAUAGAAAGGAAAUUAGGUCUCGGUAGGGACUCAGGAAUUAACAGUCACCCCAAAGCUUGAUUUCUGUUUUACUGAUUCUUUCCAGCCUAUCUCCAACUAGAGAAGAUAGUACCAUAUUUUGACUUUAAAGACUGACUUUUAUAUAGGGCUAUUUGUUAAAUAAGAGUUUAUUUCAUUUCAGGGAAUUCAGUGAUACAGUAGCCAUUGCAAUGAAAGCGUAAAAAAUGUUUCUGGGCUGGAAGGAGACGAAUUUAAAGCAAUUGCUGCUCCUUUUUCCUCAGGAAUGCAAUUGUAUAAAUGUGUGAAACUGUCGAAACAUACAGCUUAGGUCUGGAGGUGGGAAAGAGUAUGUUCUUGCCUAGGGAAAUAGAUGUGGCAUAAAUAUUUUUCUCAUGACUGUACCUGUUCCUGUACCAUUGAUUCAUAUUUACCCUUUUAAAUACAUGCAUUCUUUGGAAACUCAAGUAAACAGUGCACCUCAGUUGCCUGAGGGAAGUAUUAACUCCUUAGUCUUCAGUUUGUAUUUUGAAGUCAGGAGCCUAGACAGUGCUGUGUUAGUAUUGCUGUGUUGGUGUUUUAAAAUAUUCUGCAACCAAUGUCCUUCUUCAGGUAAGCAGUAACAAUAAUCAUGCUGCAUCUUGUUCUUCCAAAUUUUCUUCACAAAAAGAAGUCAAAAUCUUUACUUCCAUUUUAUAAUUUAUAGUCAGCCAGAGGUGCAGGGAGACGGAAAAUAAAAUUUCUAGGCCUGACAAUGACACCUCUAGGGAACCUCGGGUGCUUGCUGUCAAUGGCCAGCUCUCUGAACUGUUCCAAUUGCUGGCAAUUUGGUAGUAGGCAUGGUCCUGCCCUGAUGGUCUUGUAGUUAGAUGGCAUAAGUAAGUAUUCAGACCCCCUCCAUAAACUGCCCCGAUAGCAGGAGUAAGAGAGUCUUUGACUCCAGAUCAGUUCUUCACCUGUGAAAGUGGGAAUACACUGCUUUGCCAUAGGAAAGCUGUGAGGACGUAUUCACUAAUGACUGGAGGGGCGCUCUGAGGACCUUCUGUGUACUUAGCUAGAUGGAGAGCAAGUCAGUGGGGCAUGGGGAAAUGACUGUCACAUUUAUCUUCUUCACACCAGCAACUGGGAGUCAUUACCAGGAUCCUAAUACACCAAAGGAUCCUCUGUACAGAGAUGAUCCUCAUUUAUUUGACUACACAUACUUAAAGUGUUGCUUUGUGGUGUAAAGUUACUGGUGCAGAAGGAAGAGUUUGGGCUUAAAUUAUUUUAGAGGCUAUUUAAGUACAAGAGAUUAAAGUUGAUCUGUUCAUUUCCAGUAUCCUCUUUCUCAUUGUACCACAGGGAACCUGUUCCUCUGAGCCAAUCAUCCUUUUCCUUAAGCAUAUAGAGAAAUUAUAUAAGAUAAUUAUAUCUCAGGGCACCUUAAUUGUCCCAAUUAGCUGGCCAGUUUUGACAGUCAGAUCUGAUGUAGAGAGAGAGGGAAGAGCUCUGCAGACAUAUGACAACAUUUCAUGUGAUGCUUGGACAAUACUCAAUGGCACAGCUAUAAUAAUCAAAGUAUCUGUGUUUAGAAGUAUACUACAUGCCAUAUAAAGACAUGGAGAGAAAAAAAGCCUCAGUGUAUUUUAAGAUAUCUUUUAUCCAGUCAGCCUUCUGCAUGAGAUAUACAGCAUUAGCACUAAAUCAAUUAUAAUUAAACUGCAUGUAACCAAAAUUGGCAAAUUCAAUUUCCCCCACAUUUCAUUACAGCUUAGCCGCUAUAAUGAUAAAUUGAAUUAAGCUACCUUCCACAAUAUCUUCCAGGUAUAACCAUUAUCAAAUAUAAUUUUACUUCUCACUUUUUUGGAUGAAAAUUAAACAAUAUAUAAUUGCCCCAGAUCACUGAAGAGGUUACUCAUUCUGAUAUGAUAGAAAAUAUAUAUUAAAAAAAAAAGCCAUCAUGCUGUUGUGCACAGAUGUUAAAGACAUUUCUGUUUUGUAGAUAUAAUGGACAUUCUUUAGUGUUAAAAGAUGAAAGUCAAAUAUCUGAAAUUACAAGUGUUACUCUAUCUUGAAUCAAAAGAAAAAGGUAAAAGUGAAGUAACUUCUCCUCCCUGAGACUUUUGAAAAUGAAGCAAUUAGCCUCUUUUCUACGAAAGCUCUGGUGUCAGUAUGAUUUCAAGAACAUGAUUAAAGUUGAGCACACCCUUAAAUACUGUAUUGUAGAUGUGUCUUUUUGUACUGAGGUCAUGGUUAAAUGUCUAUAUAUAGAGGCCUUCUACUUUUUCUGUCUGAAACGCUGUUACACCU